AACGAACGCUGGCGGCAUGCCUAACACAUGCAAGUCGAACGAGACCUUCGGGUCUAGUGGCGCACGGGUGCGUAACGCGUGGGAACCUGCCCUUAGGUUCGGAAUAACUCCCCGAAAGGGGUGCUAAUACCGGAUAAUGUCUUCGGACCAAAGAUUUAUCGCCUUUGGAUGGGCCGGCGUUGGAUUAGCUAGUUGGUAGGGUAAAAGCCUACCAAGGCGACGAUCCAUAGCUGGUCUGAGAGGAUGAUCAGCCACACUGGGACUGGGACACGGCCCAGACUCCUACGGGAGGCAGCAGUGGGGAAUAUUGGACAAUGGGCGAAAGCCUGAUCCAGCAAUGCCGCGUGAGUAAUGAAGGCCUUAGGGUUGUAAAGCUCUUUACCCGGGAUGAUAAUGACAGUACCGGGAGAAUAAGCUCCGGCUAACUCCGUG
rnacentral:rRNA from 1 species